UCGGGAAUUUUGGGCAAUGGGCGGAAGCCUGAUCCAGCAAUACCGCGUGUGUGAAGAAGGCCUUAGGGUUGUAAAGCACUUUCAAUAGGGAGGAAAAAGGUAAGCUUAAUACGUUUGCCCUUGACAUUACCUAUACAAGAAGCACCGGCUAACUCCGUGCCAGCAGCCGCGGUAAUACGGAGGGUGCAAGCGUUAAUCGGAAUUACUGGGCGUAAAGCGUGCGUAGGCGGCUUGUUAAGUCAGAUGUGAAAGCCCCGGGCUCAACCUGGGAACUGCAUUUGAAACUGGCAAGCUAGAGUUGGGUAGAGGGGAGUGGAAUUUCAGGUGUAGCGGUGAAAUGCGUAGAUAUCUGAAGGAACACCAGUGGCGAAGGCGACUCCCUGGACUCAAACUGACGCUGAGGCACGAAAGCGUGGGUAGCAAACAGGAUUAGAUACCCAAGUAGUCCCUGAGCGGGCUGGCAAGGCGCAU
rnacentral:rRNA from 1 species